GACAGAGGAUGCAAGCGUUAUCCGGAAUCAUUGGGCGUAAAGCGUACCGAUAGGUUGUUUAUUAAGUCUUGGGUAAAAGCCGGAAGCUCAACUUCCGCGUUUGCUUAAGAUACUAAUAGACUAGAGGGGCAAAGAGGUGCUUGGAACGAACGGUGUAGUAGUGAAAUGCGUUGAUAUCGUUCGGAACACCGAAAGCGAAGGCAGAGCACUGGGUGCCACCUGACACUGCUAGGACGAAAGCGUGGGGAGCGAAUGGG
rnacentral:rRNA from 1 species